GUGCUCGCUUUGGCAGCACAUAAACUGAAAUCGAAACUGUACAGAGACUAGCAUGGCCCCUGUGCAAGGAUGACACGCAAAUUCGUGAAGCGUUCCAUAUUUUU